rnacentral:rRNA from 1 species
AUUUUGGACCCACCUGAUUUCCAUGCCGAACUCAGAAGUGAAACGAAAUAGCGCCGAUGGUAGUGUGGGGCUUCCCCAUGUGAGAGUAGGAC